UACGUAGGGUGCGAGCGUUAAUCGGAAUUACUGGGCGCAAAGCGUGCGCAGGCGGUUUUGUAAGCCAGAUGUGAAAUCCCCGGGCUUAACCUGGGAAUGGCAUUUGGGACUGCAAGGCUGGAGUGUGGCAGAGGAGACUGGAAUUCCUGGUGUAGCAGUGAAAUGCGUAGAUAUCAGGAGGAAUACCGAUGGCGAAGGCAGGUCUCUGGGCUGACACUGACGCUCAUGCACGAAAGCGUGGGGAGCAAACAGG
rnacentral:rRNA from 1 species